UUGCUGCAGUGGGCGGGUUCUAUGGACUAGCCUAUUAGAGGGGCACGAAAUCCGGUUAUAUAGGUACCUCGGUUGGAGAGGCACGUAGGGUAUCUCCUGAGGUAUGGUUAGAGUUCACGUCACGCCGAACCACCUCGUGAUGAUGAACUUCGCUAAAGCCAAGGAACGGCUGUGUUUUUCAAACUAAAAAUAUGUUUAUGUGUAUACGAAACUUUUUAACAGCCUUGGCGGACUCGGUUAAAUGCCUCGGCCAAGGUAUUCCCAAGAAUGAUUUUGGCAGGAGCCAAGCUUUUAAAAUACUCAUAAGCCAUGUUGAUUAUUUAAAUGAAAUGAAUAUUUAUGUUAUGAAAUACAUAUUGAGAUGGAAUAUUUUAAUCGUCU
rnacentral:lncRNA from 1 species